CUGUAACUUUAGUCUAGGCUCUGGCUAUACGGCAUUGUGACAUAUCACUGCACUGAUCACCCAGGUGUUAUAACUCUUGUCUAGGCUCUGCCUACAGGGGCUUGUGACAUAACUCUGCACUGACCACCCAGGUGAUAUAACUCUUCUCUAGGAUCUCCCUAUAGGGUGCUUUGUGACAUAUCAAUGCAAUGGUCACCCAGGUGAUAUACCACUUGUCAAGGCUCUGCCUACAGGGGCAUUGCGAUGUAUCUCUGCACUGAUCACCUAGGUCAUGUAACUCUUGUCUAGGCUCUGCUUACAGGGGGUAUUGUGAAAUAUGUCUGCACUGAUCACCCAGGUAAUGUAACUCUUGUCUAGGCUCUGCCUA
rnacentral:lncRNA from 1 species